rnacentral:lncRNA from 1 species
AUACAUGACAAUAGAGUGUAUUUUGACAUGUUAUACAUAUAUGGUGUAUAACUUACUCAAAUUAGGAUCCCAUUCUUGUGGUUGCACAUAUGAGGAGUUGCACUGAUUGUGUAUUCAUAUAAGAACAUAGGAAAGUUAUAUCUGAUUGAUAAAUAAUAAUAACAUUGGGGACAAUUGAUUGACAAACUGAUAAAGACCUCAAUGAAUUCCACAGUCACUGCAAAAAUACUUUGUGAAUCACAAAAGUUCGUUGGUUUAUUUUGAACUUCCUUUAAGCCCAGAGCAGACAGAAGUCACCAAUGAUGCUUGAGUUCCAGUUUCAUGGCCAACACAUCAUGGGAACUUAAGGUCCUUGCUCCUGGGGCCAGCACAUGUUUAUCUCUCAUCCUCUGAAAAUAUCCAGAAGUUCAUCUGCUGCAAUAAUCUCUGAGACUAAUAGGACCCCACAGUAAUUAUCAGCUGGGAGUAAAGGAAAUGUGUGGUUUGUGCUUUUUGAAAGCCUCUUUGAUCUAAGUAUUUGACACACUCCAGUCCCCAGCCCUUUAUUACAGCAGGGGAACAGGAAUGGCACCAUCCGGGCACUUGGAGGCAAGCGAUAGCCACUGCUGGAAAAGAAAAGCCAAGUCAGAAAGUUAAAGUAUAUAACACAAGGGGAGAAUCAUAUAUUUGGGUGUUCUGACUUAAUGAAACUGAAUAAUUACAGUGUUUGGAAAAUAGCCAGUCAGCCCAUUUCAUUUUUCCUUUCAAAUAUCACAUAAUUCUAUCAAGAUUUUUAUCAAAAAACAAAAUGUGCAUACUGAUGACAUUCUUUUUAGUUCUAUCUGGACACAAUGCCUCUAUUUUUAUGUGGUGCUGAAGAUCGAACCCAGUGCCUCACAUGUGCUAGGCAAGCACUCCACCACUGAGCUACAUCUCUAGCCCCCUGAUGACAUUCAAGAUCAAGAUUGUCAAGAUCAACAGAGGUUCGGGCUGGGGUUGUGGCUCAGGUAGAUCGCUUGCCUAGCAUGUGUGAGACACUGGAUUCAAUUCUCAGCACUGCAUAUAAAU